rfam:Triticum aestivum genome assembly, contig: Triticum_aestivum_CS42_TGACv1_scaffold_361917_4DS
UAGAUACUCCCUUCGUCCGGAAAUAGUCGUCAUCAAAAUGGAUAAAAGGGGAUGUUUCUAGACAUAUUUUAGUUCUAGAUACAUAUCUUUUUAUCCAUUUUGAUGACAAGUAUUUUUGGACAGAGUGAGUAUAUC